CCUACGGGAGGCAGCAGUAGGGAAUCUUGGACAAUGGGCGCAAGCCUGAUCCAGCCAUGCCGCGUGAGUGAAGAAGGCCUUAGGGUCGUAAAGCUCUUUCGCCUGUGAUGAUAAUGACAGUAGCAGGUAAAGAAACCCCGGCUAACUCCGUGCCAGCAGCCGCGGUAAUACGGAGGGGGUUAGCGUUGUUCGGAAUUACUGGGCGUAAAGCGCGCGUAGGCGGAUUGGAAAGUUGGGGGUGAAAUCCCAGGGCUCAACCCUGGAACUGCCUCCAAAACUCCCAGUCUAGAGUUCGAGAGAGGUGAGUGGAAUUCCAAGUGUAGAGGUGAAAUUCGUAGAUAUUUGGAGGAACACCAGUGGCGAAGGCGGCUCACUGGCUCGAUACUGACGCUGAGGUGCGAAAGUGUGGGGAGCAAACAGGAUUAGAUACCCUGGUAGUCCACACCGUAAACGAUGAAUGCCAGUCGUCGGGUAGUAUACUAUUCGGUGACACACCUAACGGAUUAAGCAUUCCGCCUGGGGAGUACGGUCGCAAGAUUAAAACUCAAAGGAAUUGACGG
rnacentral:rRNA from 1 species